AGGGAGACUCCACGCCUUUUUGCAGUGAUAUUUUCACCAUUGUGCCCAUGGAGGGAGAUAUCUUGCCAAAUUCUUCACUUGAAAUCAAUGUGAUCUUUAAGCCCAAAGAAGCCAGAGUCUACCAAGAGGCAGCCUACUGUGACAUCUCAGGCUGUGAGACCAGGCUGCCC